GACGGAGGAUGCAAGUGUUAUCCGGAAUCACUGGGCGUAAAGCGUCUGUAGGUGGUUUAAUAAGUCAACUGUUAAAUCUUGAGGCUCAACCUCAAAAUCGCAGUCGAAACUAUUAGGCUAGAGUAUAGUAGGGGUAAAGGGAAUUUCCAGUGGAGCGGUGAAAUGCGUAGAGAUUGGAAAGAACACCGAUGGCGAAGGCACUUUACUGGGCUAUUACUAACACAUCAGAGACGAAAGCUAGGGUAGCAAAUGGG
rnacentral:rRNA from 1 species